rnacentral:misc_RNA from 1 species
AAGUCGUAACAAGGUUUCCGUAGGUGAACCUGCGGAAGGAUCAUUAACGAAUAUCUAUGGCGUUGGUUGUAGCUGGCUCCUAGGAGCAUUUGUGCACGCCCGUCAUUUAUAUCAUCUUUCCACCUGUGAACUAUGUGUAGGUCUGGAUACCUCUCGCUUUGGUGACAAGGCGGAUGCAAGGAUUGCUGCCAAGCUCUCUUUGAAUUUCCAGGUCUAUGUUUUUUACACACUCCAUUUGAAUGAUGUAGAAUGUAGUCAAUGGGCUUUCAAGCCUAUAAAAAACUAUACAACUUUCAGCAACGGAUCUCUUGGCUCUC